AACCCCUUGGGGUGCCCCCCUGACCCCAUUACCCUUCCGGAUCCCAACUGGAUCUACAAGAUCCCACCACAGCAGAUCCCCUACUGGAUCCCCAUGGUGGAUCCCCACCAGAUCCCAGCUCCCCGGGAUCCUCGGGCUUUGCAAGGUGUCUGCAGACCCCUGGGGCAAUACGAGGGUGACCGGGAUCCCCUCGGGGCACCCCCCCUGACCCCAUUUCCCCCCACCGGAUCCCAGCCGGAUCUACGAGAUCCUCCCGCAGCGGAUCCAGCAGUGGCAGCAGAGCCCGUGCGUGGCGGAGGAGCACGGCAAGCGGCUGCUGGAGCGCAUCCGGCGCGAGCAGCACCAGGCCCGCCUGCGGCUGCAGGAGAUGGAGCGCCGCUUCCACGAGCUCGAGGGGCUCAUCGCCCGCGCCAAGGGGCACCCCCCCCGCGAGGACGAGGAGACCAAUGAUGGGGACAGCGAGGACACCGACCUGCAGAUCUUCUGCGUGUCCUGCGGCCACCCCAUCAACCCCAAGGUGGCCCUGCGCCACAUGGAGCGCUGCUACGCCAAGGUACCCGCACCCUUGGGUGCCCCUGGGGGGGUGGGGGGGGCGUGGGGGGGGUGCUGGAGGUGUUAGGGGGCGCCUUUGGGUGCUAUAGGGGACGUAUGGGACUUGUUAAUGGGUGCUAUAGGGGGUGUGGGGCGCCUUUGGGUGCUAUAGGGGCUAUAUGGACCUUGGUGUUGGGUGCUAGAGGUGCUGUGGGGUUCCCUUGGGUGCUAUAGGGGCUAUAUGGACCUUGUUACUGGGUGCUAGAG
rnacentral:lncRNA from 1 species